UCAGUGAAGGAAGAAUCCUGAAGCAGCAGUUAUGAUGAAGCAAAUGUGGUCUGUGCAGCGCAGGAGCUUUCUCCAAAGGCGGCAAUUAGUGUUUGAUUAAUGAAGAAAUAAUGACAUCAAGUGUGCAAUAUUAUAAAGCUGUGGUACAAACAAGAUACUGAAGAAACACUGAAGAAAGAAUGAAUGCCUAAAUUUUUCUGCAAAAAUGGAUUAUAAUAUUUGGCUGAAUCCUAAAAGAUAAAAAGGACUUUGUCACAUGUAGAGAGGCUGAGCAGGUAUUCUGGGUUCAGAAAGCAGCAUGUGCAAAUUUAUGAAGGAUAAAACUCUACUGACUGUAUGGAGAUCAUCCAUUGGCCGAAAGGUCAUACAUUGGAGAAACAGAGAGAGAUGAUGCAGGAAAAUAGUCUAUGAAGAACCGUAAGUGCCCUGCUAAAACAUUUAGUUCUGCAUAUAUCUGGGAUUUCCAACCAGUGUGGAUAAAUGCCUUCAGCCAUCAAGGCUUUUGGGCAGGGUCUGGGGCAGCCCUUGGGGUCAACCACUUCUAGCAAUAAAUAUAGGCAUGAAGA